AGUGAACGCUGGCGGUAGGCCUAACACAUGCAAGUCGAACGGCAGCACAGUAAGAGCUUGCUCUUACGGGUGGCGAGUGGCGGACGGGUGAGGAAUACAUCGGAAUCUACUUUUUCGUGGGGGAUAACGUAGGGAAACUUACGCUAAUACCGCAUACGACCUACGGGUGAAAGCAGGGGAUCUUCGGACCUUGCGCGAUUGAAUGAGCCGAUGUCGGAUUAGCUAGUUGGCGGGGUAAAGGCCCACCAAGGCGACGAUCCGUAGCUGGUCUGAGAGGCUGAUCAGCCACACUGGAACUGAGACACGGUCAAGACUCCUACGGGAGGCAGCAGUGGGGAAUAUUGGACAAUGGGCGCAAGCCUGAUCCAGCCAUACCGCGUGGGUGAAGAAGGCCUUCGGGUUGUAAAGCCCUUUUGUUGGGAAAGAAAAGCAGCAGGUUAAUACCCCGCUGUUCUGACGGUACCCAAAGAAUAAGCACCGGCUAACUUCGUG
rnacentral:rRNA from 1 species